AUUGAACGCUGGCGGCAGGCCUAACACAUGCAAGUCGAGCGGUAGAGAGAAGCUUGCUUCUCUUGGGAGCGGCGGACGGGUGAGUAAUGCCUAGGAAUCUGCCUGAUAGUGGGGGAUAACGUCCGGAAACGGACGCUAAUACCGCAUACGUCCUACGGGAGAAAGUGGGGGCUCUUCGGACCUCACGCUAUCAGAUGAGCCUAGGUCGGAUUAGCUAGUUGGCGGGGUAAAGGCGCACCAAGGCGACGAUCCGUAACUGGUCUGAGAGGAUGAUCAGUCACACUGGAACUGAGACACGGUCCAGACUCCUACGGGAGGCAGCAGUGGGGAAUAUUGGACAAUGGGCGAAAGCCUGAUCCAGCCAUGCCGCGUGUGUGAAGAAGGUCUUCGGAUUGUAAAGCACUUUAAGUUGGGAGGAAGGGUCGUUACCUAAUACGUGGCGAUUUUGACGUUACCGACAGAAUAAGCACCGGCUAACUCUGUGCCAGCCGCCGCCGUAAGAC
rnacentral:rRNA from 1 species